GUUUCUUCAUUGCAUCCUAUAUAUUCAUAUUUAAUUUAUGCAUUUCACCACUGAGCUUUAGAUUCAAACUAUCUCACUUCUGAUUCAUUUCAAAAAUAAUCUCACAUGUAACAAUUUGUAUGUGUGUUUUCUAUUCAUUAAGGUAAUGACAAUUAUUUCUUUCAUUAUUCUUACCUUUUCUAAUGUUUACCUCUUUGUUAUGCUAUGGUGGACAUCCCUAAACAAUUCAUGAGUUCAGGUUUCAAUUUUCAAUCCAAUUAUAUCCUAUAUUCUCGCAGUCAAACUCGUCCAGCUUCAUCUCUCACUGGUCCUCUCUGCACAAUGUCCUGUUCGGGCUUCAAAGCUCCAGCAAACACAGUCUCAACUCAGCUGCUGUCUUCUUCUCUGUUUCUUUACAGUCUUUCUUUCAGAUUAAGUCCCAGCAUGGCAAAAUAUCACUCAAUGUCCAGUGCUCUUCCACAAUUCUUUAUCCCACUAUUCAACUGCCCAGCCUGUAUUUUCACAGUACAUGUUACAUUACACUUACAUGCUGCUGCUGGUCGUCAGUCGUCAUCAGUGUUAAUGGAUCAGUGGCCCUGUCGUUUGCCUGCUGUAUUCAAGUCCACGAUGUUCUAUCGGUCUUCAUCAGGCGAUUAACUGUCCUUUGAACUUCUUCUCCGCUUCAGGGACAAAGUGAGAGAUCCAGCCGCACAAUUUCGAGCCAAAAACUGGCUUAUUCUCCCAAUUCUUUUAAUCUACUUUUCUGCUGCUGAACUCAAGGUUGCAAAGUUGAAAGACGCCCACCUGUAUUGACACACUAAACCAUAUAAUUAGUAUUAUAUUCAUUUUUUCUUAAAGGCUUCAUUUGCUUCAUGUGCCUAGAGUUAAAUCUCUCUCUCUGUGUUCUUUCUGUACACACUCAGUUCCCAUAUAUGGGCAUGCACAGUUCCUGUUCACUAUUUCCUGUCGCUGCAGCCCUGGUACAUAGAGCAAUAUUUCCUGUUCCUCAAACUAAUCUAACUCCUUUGUUUUU
ensembl:lncRNA